rnacentral:rRNA from 1 species
CAAUAGCAUAUAUUAAAUUUGUUGCAGUUGAAAAGUUCGUAGUUGAAAAUGCAACGUUUCCGUCAUGUAGACCUUGCGUCCUCGUGAUGGAAAAUCGGACAGAUCUGAUGUUCUUCCGAUGUCACCGUGAUCAAAUUAUAGUGCUCAAGGGUCCUAUGUGCGCCAGCAUGGAAUGACACUAUACAUUUCCAGCUUCUUCCGGAUGCUCUGGAAGUUGGAUGAAUACUUAUAAGAAUGGAGAGUGACAUUCAUAUUUAACUGUCAGAGGUGAAAUUCUUAGACCAGUUAAAGGUGAACUACAGCGAAAGCACUUGUCGGAUACAUCUUUGUUAAUCAAGAACGAAAGUUGAGGGAUCGAAGAUGAUCAGAU